GCCUGGGUGGCUCAGUCGGUUGAGCGACCGACUUCAGCUCAGGUCACGAUCUCGCGGUCCGCGAGUUCGAGCCCCGCGUCGGGCU
rfam:Felis catus isolate Cinnamon breed Abyssinian chromosome A3, whole genome shotgun sequence.